CUGGGUAUAGCGCAGAUGGUAGCGUACAAGACUGGGGGUCUUGGGGUCGCGGGUUCAAGUCCCGCUACUCAGA
rnacentral:tRNA from 1 species